GACGAACAGCUCAGUAACUCUUAUUUUAUUUGAUGUAUUAGGAUUAUAACUAUGUUAAAUUAUAGAUAACAAUAAUACAAUAAGAAUAAGAUCUAUCAGUUAGUUGUUAAGGUAAUGGCUUAACAAGACUAUGACGGAUAACGGUAUUACUUUGUAAUAUUCCGGAGAAGGAGCCUGAGAGAUUGCUACUAAGUCUAAGGAUUGCAGCAGGGGCGAAACUUGACCUAUGAUAUGAUAUUGAGGCAGUUAUGAGUAGUAUUUUU
rnacentral:rRNA from 1 species